UGAAAUUCAAUGGGAACGUUACUAGCACUUGUUACUUCGUACAUAAGAAAAAUCGGAUAUAAGUAAGACUUUAAUACGAAUAAUGUUUUUAUAUUAGUAUCACGAAUCAAUUAUGUUAAUAGCGUAAGAUAAAGAAUAGAAGUUGUGUAAGACAGUGGAAACAAUGUAGUUUAAGUAACUAACAAUGCUUGGGUGUUGCUUCUAAAGAUAUCGAAUAGAAUGAGUGAUAGAAUACGUUGUGCGUGAAUGAGUUAGGGAGUGUGUAUAUUUUAAGUACGUUUUUAGGUCAUUCAGAGUAUUAGUAUGUGUGUAAACACGUGUAGGGGUACGCCUCUGUGAGUGACUGAUUGUUAAAAAGCGUCGGAGUAUCAGAACGGUUUACCUAUGUCAUAGAAUUAUAUGAACUAACACACUGUUAUAGAAUUGCAUAAUGUUAAAUAAUAUUCUGUUGUACAAUUUCAAUAUAGUAUUAUAUAGCAGCAUAGCGUUGUACCGAAUCGUAUAUAAAAUUGUAGAUUGUGUUCUAACGAAUACCUAUAUAUACAUAUUUUUCAAUAUUACUUGACAAUAUCGCGCAGCGAUCUCUCGUCUUUUAUAAUUAAGAAAAAAAUAUUAUUAUAUUGUUGAUAAAAUGUCUACUCAUAAUCGAAAAUGACAAUGUUUUCUUAACUCUAUGGCGACACGAAGACAUAGUCGUAUCGCUAAUGAUGAAUGUGGAUAACAUGUGUUUGUAGCAACAUGCAAGUAAAAGACGUAGAAUGCGAAAACAUUUUCAAAGGAAGUUUCAUAAGGAAGGUCCAACAGACAAGGUUAUUCGUGAAUUAUUAACAAAAUUUCAUAGAACCGGAUCUGUGCACGAUGACAGCAGAAAUGAUUAAUGUGGGUACGUGAUUAUCUAGAUAGACGGUUUCCAGGUCGCUAGAUUGGUAGUCGUGAAACACAGUCAUGGGCAACACGUUCAACCGAUUUAACACCAUUAGAUAUAUUUUUGCCUGGAAUUUCAUUAAUUCGAAGGUGUAUACUGGUAGAAGAAUUAUUUAUAUGACCGAACUUCGAAAUCGUAUUAUCCAUGCUACUCAGAAAAUAACACUUCGAAUGUUAGAAAGUUUGUUCCGGGAAACAAUUUAUAGCUUUGAUUUUUGAAAAGAUACUGAUCGUCACUAUGUGAAAACAAAUACAUAUAUGGCAUUAAUUCUUCGUAGAAUUUCGUUUGAAAUAAAUAUAUUUUUUAUCUCUCAAAUCUAUUUUUUUAAUUUUUAUUAUUUUAUAAAAUAGACAGUAACUUUCGAGACAAAAAAAUUGUUUUUAUCUGAAAAUAAAAUUAAUUUAGAAAAAACCAUA